rnacentral:rRNA from 1 species
AUUGAACGCUGGCGGCAGGCCUAACACAUGCAAGUCGAACGAGUGGCGGACGGGUGAGUAAUGUAUGGGGAUCUGCCUGAUGGAGGGGGAUAACUACUGGAAACGGUAGCUAAUACCGCAUACCAUCGGAUGUGCCCAUAUGGGAUUAGCUAGUAGGUGGGGUAAAGGCUCACCUAGGCGACGAUCCCUAGCUGGUCUGAGAGGAUGAUCAGCCACACGGGAACGGAGACACGGCCCAGACUCCUACGGGAGGCAGCAGUGGGGAAUAUUGCACAAUGGGCGCAAGCCUGAUGCAGCCAUGCCGCGUGUAUGAAGAAGGCCUUCGGGUUGUAAAGUACUUUCAGCGGGGAGGCGUUACCCGCAGAAGAAGCACCGGCUAACUCCGUGCCAGCAGCCGCGGUAAUAC